UACGUAGGAGGCGAGCGUUGUCCGGAAUCACUGGGUGUAAAGCGCGUGUAGGCGGCCUGCCAAGUCUGCUGUGAAAGCGCCUGGCUUAACCGGGCGAGGUCGGUGGAAACUGGCGGGCUGGAGGACGGUAGAGGGGGGUGGAAUUCCCGGUGUAGUGGUGAAAUGCGUAGAGAUCGGGAGGAACACCAGUGGCGAAGGCGGCCCCCCUGGGGCCCGUUCCUGACGCUGAGACGCGAAGGCGCGGGGAGCGAACGGG
rnacentral:rRNA from 1 species